rnacentral:rRNA from 1 species
AUUGAACGCUGGCGGCAGGCUUAACACAUGCAAGUCGAGCGGGGGAAGGUAGCUUGCUACCGGACCUAGCGGCGGACGGGUGAGUAAUGCUUAGGAAUCUGCCUAUUAGUGGGGGACAACAUCUCGAAAGGGAUGCUAAUACCGCAUACGUCCUACGGGAGAAAGCAGGGGAUCUUCGGACCUUGCGCUAAUAGAUGAGCCUAAGGCGGAUUAGCUAGUUGGUGGGGUAAAGGCCUACCAAGGCGACGAUCUGUAGCGGGUCUGAGAGGAUGAGCCGCCACACGGGGACUUAGACACGGCCCUGACUCCUACUGGAGGCAGCAGUGGGGAAUAUUGGACAAUGGGUGGAACCCUGAUCUAGCCAUGCCGCGUGUGUGAAGAAGGCCUUAUGGUUGUAAAGCACUUUAAGCGAGGAGGAGGCUACUUUAGUUAAUACCUAGUGAUAGUGGACGUUACUCGCAGAAUAAGCACCGGCUAACUCUGUGCCAGCCGCCGCGGUAA